AAGAUUCAAAGGAUCAGUUCAAGGAAAGACACUCUGCUUUGUAGGACCACCUGGUGUUGGUGAUACCAGUAUAGCUUGUUCAUUGCCCUGGCAUUAAUUAGAGAAUACUUUAGGUUCAGUGUAGGAGGUAUGACCGAUGUGGCUGAGAUAAAGGGACACAGGAGGCCAUAUGUUGAUCCAAUGCCUGGUAAAGUGAUACAGUUUAGAGGAAGUACAAACUGAGAAUCUACUCAUACUGAUUGAUGAACUGGACAUGGUACCAGAGAGUCAAUGGCUCAGAUCAUUGAGGCUGGUAAGAUGAUCCUACACAUCUUGCUGAUUUUGGAGCUGUACUGACCAGUGGAGAAUCACAUCAAAUUCAAGCAGUUAGCAGUUCUUGAAUGUCCAGAUGUAAUCACUUAAGUCCACUGUGGCGGAACUAUGGACACAGUCUGGUGAAGAACUGGGUUAACCUUAAGCCUGCUAUUAUUUGCAUCUACUAAUUUUAGCGAAA